AUGGUUACAGCAAAGAGGGGAAGGGGAAAGAGUGUUUUAGAUCCACCCUCACCGUCGACAGCAACAUCUCGCACGCAUCUGCUUGCACCACCGCUGCACACGGACAACCUCUUCUCUAUUCAUCAGCUUCCUUCUGUCGAUUCCGUUUUCAACCUAGCUCCAACCCAGAACUACCGCGAGAUCCAGCGGUCACAAAUCACAGCACCUUACACCAACAAACACCAAAGUCCGUGA